rnacentral:rRNA from 1 species
UACGUAGGGUGCGAGCGUUGUCCGGAAUUAUUGGGCGUAAAGAGCUCGUAGGCGGUCUGUCGCGUCGAUCGUGAAAACUUGGGGCUUAACCCUGAGCUUGCGGUCGAUACGGGCAUGACUGGAGUUCGGCAGGGGAGACUGGAAUUCCUGGUGUAGCGGCGAAAUGCGCAGAUAUCAGGAGGAACACCGGUGGCGAAGGCGGGUCUCUGGGCCGAUACUGACGCUGAGGAGCGAAAGCGUGGGGAGCGAACAGG